UUUGUGCUCAUCUAUGAGUUUGGAAGAAAAUUACCAUACAUAGUCUUCUGUAGUUUUUUAAGGAAAUGCUAAGACCUUAAAAAACUUAAGUGUAUUAUAUUUUUAAUAAUUUAAGAAACUUAACUUUGUGAGGAAAGAAUUAUUUUAACUUAGACACAAAUGUGUGUAAAAUUCACAUUGUGAGGUAGAGAGUUGGUUUCUGCAGUAACUGUUAGUUAACUUAGAAUUAGAUGUUGAGAUCUCAAAAUAUAUUUAGAAGUUGGUAGAAAUGAAAAUAUGGCGAAGGGAGAAAAUAUGUAUAUAAUUGCUAUAAGUUAGAGAAUGCAUUUGCCAAUUUUUAUAAAAAAUAAUUAAAAAAUUUAGACACCAUGUUCCCAUUUGCAUAAUGAACUUUGACUAACCCCAGAUCUCUGUCUGCUUUUUAAGGGGAAAGUACUUUGUCAUCUUUAACUAUCUGGACCCUUAACUAUCUGGUUCCUUAAUCUCUAAGACAUUAGGCUAUUUAAGAUCCAUCAGUGUAUUAAAUGUUUAAAUUUUCAGAUUUAUUUUUAGAAUUUGGUCCCUCAAACUAAAUGUAAUUUAAUUUGUAGUGAAAUCCUCACAACCUAUGGGAGGAAGAAUGUUCCCUUUAAUCCCUCAUGUGAAUUACAUGGAUUUGAGUUUAUACAAUAUGUAAUGUUACGUUCUCUUUCAUAACUUAAUUAUUUUAUCAAAACCUAAGGUGAAAUUGGCAGGUGUCCUUAGUUUAGCAUCCAGCCAAAGAUGAAUCCAAGAGCAAUUUGCUGAAAAGAAAUAGAGAAACUUUCUCUUCUGCCAAACUUUCUCAUUCCUGCUGCUCUUGAAAACUGUCUGUACAGGGGAAAAAAUCUAUAAACACAGAUAUAAAAAGCAACAGUUGCCUCUGUUCAACUUCCCAUCACAUGUGACCUGAUUUUCUAGUUCUCUGUGAUGCCCAGACCCUUGCUUCCCAGCAAGAGCCAAAGCAAACUGCUUUCAAGAGUCUCCAUCUCUGUUUGCAAACCAUACCCAGUUUACCUAUUAGACAGGCAUCUGGCAUGGGGACCACAGCACAGCUUCCUCCUGUACCCAAAGUCUGAGACAGGGGCUGAGCUGUAUUCUGUCUGGACUCAUCUGUAGAUGCAGAGGUCAGUGUUUGAUGAGAUAAAUUGACUUGUUUUUGAUCCUAGGACAAAACAAAACAUUUUGGGGACCAUAAAUGGCCUGAGGCUGAUUUGUUUUCUGGAGAAGGGCAAAGAGUAUAAUAUACUAUAGACUGCCCUUGGAAAAAAUGUUGCAAGGGGAAAGAGUAACUCUGAAGAAGGGCUAGAGACCAGGGAGAGACUGACUACGUAAUUAAUAACCCAAAGCUACAGUCUGUUGCCAAAUUUUUCUAGUGAUUUCCCCUAAUCCUUCAAAUUCUUCCUAAAGUCUUUUGAAAGAUAUUUUUGCAAGAUACAACAUUAACUUCCAUUCUAUUUUGCUAUCAUUUGUAUUUUUUUCUUUGCUAUGUUCAUGAACUAGAGCUAUUUCCUGACCUUUUGGACAAGGCCAUUAUUUUCAGAGUCAAAUUAAAAAUUUUGGUUAAGGAUGCUUAUGUAUUCUGGAAAAGAAAAUUCUGAAGAUAUCAUUUGUGUUCUUAGGCAAAUUAUGACACCUAGGAUUGUUUAACCUUAAAAAAUUCUUUUAUAAUUAAAGCAUUAAUAGAAAUAUUACUUAUAUCAGUUUAUUGUUGCAUAACCAAUGAUUCCAAAACUUAAAAUGGAUAUUAAAACAAUAUUCAUUAACUUAGUUUAUAUUUCUGUGGGAUGGAAAUUUAGGGUGUUUUCAUCUUACAGUUCUGGGUCUUGGCUGGGCCCUCUGUGCUGUCACGUGCAUGUCAGUUCAGCAUGUCUGCUUCUAGGAGCUCUCUGAUUGUCAGAAUGACUGUGAGACUAGGCUGCAUUUCUCCCACCUUCUAGUUGGUUUGUCCAGAUAUGUUUAUAUGUGGUCACAAGAGUGGCUUGACUUAGAACUGGUAGACUAUUAGCCUAUAACAAGUAACAAAAUUGGCUCAAUUUAUCAGGUAGGGAAUUAGACUCCAUGAUUUCAUGGAGGAGCUUGUACUGACCUUGCAAAGGUGCAAAGAGGGGCUGUAUUUGCAAUUGACCUCACUAAUCAAUGGCACUACAUGCUAGGCAAUUUAUAUACAUUUUCACCAAUUUUUACAAUAACACAAUAUGUUAAUGAUCACUUCCUCACUUAAGAGUUGAAGGCACUGAAGUUUAGAGAGACUAAUUGCCUUGCCCAAGAUUGUAAAUAAUAAUCAGACAAGCUCUAUCUUGGACAAUAAUUUGUGUGAAACAAAAUCUUUAGGUUAAUUUUUUUCUUGUUCAAUUUCAUAUUUUUUUUUCUUUUAUUGAUCUUAUUUUUUAAUAAAUACAGGACAACAGUGGAAUGCAUUACAAUUCUUAUUACACAUAUAGAGCACAAAUUUUGGUAUCUCUGUAUAUAAAGUAUAUUCACACCAAUUUAUGUCUUUAUACACGUACUUUUUUGCAUUACAAUUCUUAAUACACAUAUAUACCACAAUUUUUCAUUUUUUAUCUUCAUAGUUUCACCUUCUGUUAAGUUCUGGAAUCAAAUUCUACCAUCUUUCUUCCUCUGUUAAAAAUCUUAUUAUACUUUAACACUAUAUUAUUUUUUUCCAGUAAUAAUUUCUUUUUCUGUAAUAAAAAACCAAAAAAUAAAAUAUUUUUUUCUUUAAAAAAAAUUUGAGAAUUUCUUGAUUUUUUAAAAAUCUAAACCUCAUUAUCUUAAUUUUAAAUAGUAAAAUCUGGAUAGUAGUCUGUAGUAUGGAUUUAUUCUGUAUUAAAAAAUUUGGGGGGGGCUGGGGUUGUAGCUCAGUGGUAAAGUGCAUACUUAGCUUGUAUGAAGCCCUGGGUUUAAUCCCCAGCACCACCACCAAAAAAAAAAAAAAAAAAAAAAUACUAUUUUCCAGUCCUCAUGAGUAUAAUAAAAAUUGGGGUAAGGGAGGAGAGGAAGAUGUAUGUCCAAAAGACAGGCAGGUGUUAUUAGGACAAAGAAAACAAAGAAAUAAUAAAUGUUCUAGAAGAGAUGUGUAAUUCUAUAUACAUAUCUAUAUGUACCUUGACUAACCUUCCAGGGCAGUAGUAGAAUGCAAAGAGCCAUGUUCUCAAGUAUUUGCAUCUAAAGGUUUCUUGCACAACUGACUACUUGUUUGUAGUUGGUGCAUCACCUCACUGUUCUAGCCCUCAUAUUCUGCACUAGAAAACUAAGGGUAUUAGAUUUAUGAACAACUCUGAAUUAAAAUAAUCCAACCUUCUGACUCUCUACACAGGACAUCUGGAGGAAUGUACUUACGGCUGAAAUUUGACCAGCCUACUGUGUAACAAAGUAGUACCUCGUGUAAUUUUCAAUCUGUGUAUGGGGUGAAGGUGGGAGUUCAUAACCCACUUGAAUCAAAGUGUGGAAUAUGAUAUGUCAAGAAAUUUGUAAUGUUUUGAACAACCCACAAUAAAAAAUUAAAAAAAAAAAUGAAUGUUCCUACCAAAAAAAAUUCCUUCCAAAGGCAAUGCCAUUCAAAAUUCUCUUAAAUUGAUAUGAGGCUAACCUUAUUAUUGUCCUUAGUGGUCUCUAUUCAUUGUCUUUAGUAAAAUGGAAGUGAUACCUACACAGUGUUCUUCUCUUAAACUGUGGAUUAACAUAAUUAUCAUUUCCUUCUAAUUGAAUGCAAGCAAUUGGUGACAGCAGUAAUGCCUAAUCCUUAUAUAAAACAUCACCUAAUAUUCACUAAUUGUUUUGACAGUGUCUCCCCUUAUGUCUGCUGUCCAAGAUUAACUUGCUCUUGGAAGGAAAAAAAUCAAGGGAAGGCCUGGGAACAAAUGUUUAGAAAAACAUCAGUCAGAUAAGCUCUAAGCUUCAGAAAAAAACACUUUUUAUCUUUUUUUUUUUUUUUUUUUCUUGCUGCUUCUCAUCAAAAUUGAGACCUUAGGAUUUCAGAUAAGGGUAUGAGCUAGAAGUAAGAGCUCGAAGAGGUCUGUGUUUGGUGGGGUGCUAUUGAAGAGCAUGGCACAAAGAAUCCUCUUGCUAGCCAGGCACCUCAUGAUUGAAGUUCUGCAUGAUACUUGGAAUCAGAAAAUCAACUUCUAAUAAGAAUAUUCAUUUGCUGUCUUUGUGCCUGAUAUAGAUCUCAUUUAGGAAUCUGUAACUUGAGCAGACACCUAGAAAGUUCACAGUGUCAGAAGGUGGGGAAGUUGGAACCUAAGUAAUAUAAUAAGUAAUCAAGAGCAUUAUCCAUGCAAAUUCUGUUUGAGUACAUUCUUACCAUUUCUUAUUUCUAUGAACACUGAACUUUGCCAUAUCCAUGGGCUGAGCAUUGUUGUUUUUCAAUUUGCUUUUACUAUCUCAAAUUACUCUUUUUCUAACAGGGCUUUAGGCUUUUAGAAUACCAAUAAAGAUUUGGUAUAUUUGCUCCGAGUUUUCUGAUAAUGUUUUUCAAAAUCAAACAGUUCCUUUAUAAUAAUGAUAAUAAUAAUAGCCACUACUAUAAUAGUUUGUUAGAGUUGCCAUGAGAAAAUAUAGAUUGGGUAGCUUAAACCAAAUAAUUUUUCUCACAGUUUUGGAAGCUAGAAUUUCAAGAUCAUGGUGUUGACAGGUUUGGUUUCUUUUGAGGUUUGUCUUUUGGCUUCUAGGUGACUAGCUUUUAGCUAUAUUCUCACAUAGUCUUUCCUUUAUACUCAAGUGCCAAAGUGCCUUUGUCUAGGCUCUUCUUAGGAAUCCAAUCAUAUAAAGGUCUCAUUUUAACUUAGUCAAUUCUUAUCUCCUAAUACAGUUAUAUUUUGAGGGACUAGGGACAUAAUAGAUGAAUUUGGGGAUUACAGUGACCUUUCUUUAUUUCUGCCAUGCAUUAUUCUAGUCACUUUGAAUGAAUUAAAUUCAGGGUUCUUCAAUCUCAGCACUAAGGACAUUUUAUACCUGACAAUUCUUUCUUGGGGUAGGGUUAGGAGACUGUUCUAUGCAUUGUACCAUUACUAAAUCCAUUUUAGUAUCAUCCUUGGCUUCUGCCAGUAACUCCGUCUCCCCAGGUAGUGAUAUAAUUAUUUGCAGACAUUGUCAGAUUUCCCCUGGGGGACAAAAUUGCUCUAAUUGAGAACCACUGAUUAAGUCUAAUCUUCUCCACACUGUUUCAAGGUAGCUUUAAUAUCCCCACUUUAUAAAGGAAGGUACUGAGAUUAAGAAAGGUUGAAUGACUGGCCAAGUUCACAUAGAAACAAAGGGGCAGAGCCAGGAUUUGAACUUUAGUUGUUUUUUUCCAUGACAUUAAGCUGCUGCUUAGUGGUUAUCCUGCACCUUUUCAGCUUUCACCACUGUCUCUAAAUCUGCUACACCAAAUGCUGAAUGAUGGCCUUAAAAUAAUCAGUAAUCAUGUGAUGAUCCUUUCUUUGUAAUCUUUGUGAAAUAUUCUAAACCAUAAACCUAUUAUGCUUUCUGAAACAGUGACCUAGGGGUAUUACAAAUUGUCCGCAGAGCCAGGCACCAAUGCCACCCUCUUUAUGGUCAUUAAUUAAACUGAGAACAGGCUGAAAGAUACACAUCAGCUGGAUGUGAUGUUACACAACUGUAAUCCUAGUGGCUUGGGAGGCUGAGACAGGAGAAUCACAAGUUCAAAGCCAGGCUCAGCAAAAGCAAGGCACUAAGCAACUCAGUAAGACCCUGUCUCUAAAUAAAAUACAAAAUAGGGCUGGGGAUGUGGCUUAGUGAUUGAGUUCCCCUGAGUUCAAUCCCCAGUACCCUCCCACAAAAAAGACUGAAAUACACAUUAAUAAUAAUAAAUUACAAAUCUUAGCUAAAACAAUUCAUCUUUUCACCCCAAAAUUAUGUGAUAACCCAAUUUUAAAUAUGAAAAUGAAGUCUGGGGAAAUAAGUUGGGAAAUUGCCCUGAUUAGUCAGAGUUAGGUAAAGAAUGAAAAUUAUACUUCUGCUGUGUGGGAAAUUGUUUAAAAACAAAAAAAAUGCUUGCCUAGUGCAUCCCCCAAAAUGUGACAGCUUCAGAAUGGUGUUCAGGUUUUCCUAAGAACCCAGAUGUUCAAUGACUAGUACUUGAACUUUCAAUAAACUCCAGAAAUGUAAAGAAAACUAAAUGAUUGUGCAUAUGUGUGUGCUACAGUGUUCUGAGAAGAAUCCUUCUCUAAUUCUCAAGAAGUAAUAUUUGCUUCCCCACCAUGAAGCCCAAGACUUGAUUAACUUUAUCUUAACAUACCAAUAAAUGUUGUAUUGGCCAUAAAAACAGUCAGCUCUAGUAUAAAUCCAACUCCAGUAUUUAAUUCCUUGACCUUCUAUGUCAGGGAUUUCCAGAAGCAAGCCUAAAAAUCAUCUAAAAUCUAUUUUUCAAGUUAUAAAUUGAACUUUAUUGAAAUAAAAGCUUCUGUUUUGUAUAACAUACUAUUAAUAGUAUCAAAAACAAAUCUUAAAAUUGGGGGAAAGUAUUUGCAAAUCACAGGUCUUCCAAAAGACUUAUCAAUGAUCAUAAACAAGGGAAUUCACAGUAAAAAGAAAACUGAUAUAAAAUCUCAAGACAGUUUACCAAAUAAGUUAUACAGAAACCCACACCUGACAAUGUCUUCAACAUCAUUAGACAUAAAACCACAAUCAGAUAUUCUAAUACUUAAUAGAAUGGCAGAAAUUUUCAAAUGAAACUAAUAAUUUAUGACAUAGAUUCAGAACAGCAUGUUACAUGUUUCAUGCAAUAAGCUUCAAUUUCAUGCUUCUCUGUCUACUUUGAGAAAACUAAGUCUAUGUUCACACAAAAUCCUGCCAAUGGAAAUUGAUAUAAGCUAUGUUUUUAAGUUCAAAAAGUGGAAACUACUCCCAAAUAUAUUUUAAAUUGAGAAUACAUGAACCAUCUGUAUUAUACUAUACAAUGGAAUAUUAAUCAGCAAUAGAGAAAGACAAAGCAAUAUGUGUAACACUAAGUGUGAAAUGUGUGAAAGAAAGCAAACACAAAAGGCUGAAUUUUAAUUAUGAUUCCAAUUUAUAUGACUUUUAUGCAAAUACAAAAUCAUAGGUUCAGAAAUCAAAUCUAUCAUUGCCAGGGACUAGAGGUGGAGGAUGAUUAGACCAGAUAGAAGCAGAGAGGAAUUUGGGAGGGUUGUUCUUCAUCUUUUUUUGCAGUGUUGCAUAUUAUUACAAUCUUUUUCAGAACUCACAGAGCUCUAAAGAAAUAAAUGUUACUUACAUACAUUAAUUAUUAAAAAGUGGAGGCAGUUAGUUCUGAUUGUUUCUAAAGAGAUGGACAAAUGAUCAUGUAGCACAAUCCUCUUUCUUUGUUCAUGAACUUUUAGUGCAGACAGAUGUAUCAUUCACUCAUGUAGUCCAUUAUUUGGAAUGAAUAUAGGAAGGGGGAUUUGUGAUGGUAUCAGGAUAGAAGAUGCAAGAAUGCCUAAAUACUGCUAUAUUUUUAGAUAACUAUGACAAUGCCUUAAGACUAAGACUGUUUCACCCUUUUCAGUCAUAAGAGUCAAAUCUUGGAAAUUCCUAUACAAACAAGGAAUGGAUAUUAUUACAAAUAAAAAGAACACACAAAGGAAACAGGAGCACAGUGUGCCUCAGCCAUAACUCCUCUUGACAGAACAGUUGAUUCCCCAAUACAGCUAGGAGACAGUGGAGAUGAAUCCACCUAGUAAUCGCCACCUAGUCUUUUCUUGGUAAGCAUUAUGCUGAGUGGUGAAUGAACUCAUCAGAUUCCUUCCUGACAGCAGGGCUGUUUAAUUUUGUUUUGAGAAGGAGAAGGAAAGAAAGGAGAUACUAAUAAGAUACCUGAUAAGUAACAAAGGACAGUCUUUCCAGGGGCAAAAGUAUCCAGAGUCACCUUUUCUGGUACUCUUGAUGCUUUCAGACUUUGGAAUAGGCAGGAAAAAGGUUCCCACCAUUUGAUACCCCCAAAUAAGCAUUUAAGUGAAACAGGAGCAGAAGUACCCCCAGACAUGGAUGGAUUUAGUGAAAACCUUUGUGGUUUAAUUGGAGGAAAGCAAAAAGCCCACCAAUUCCUGAAAGUGUGUCCUUUGAUGACAUCAAAACAGUGUAUAAUGCUUCAUUUAACACAUAUCACACAUGGGAGUUUGGCUCCAUGAGUCUCUUAUUGAAAUGUAUUAGUUAUUUUUAGAAGUAAGCUAUUCUCAGACUAUUAAAGCUGAAUGAUUUUAUUUUCUUUUUGUGGUACUCAAGUUGAACUAAUGCCCUCAAAAAUGCCAAGAAAGUGUUCUGCCACUGAGCUGAAUCCCAAGCCCUUUAUUUUUUGAAUAUUGAUACAGGAUCUCAUGAAAUUGUUCAGAUUGGCCUCUAACUUGCAAUUUUCCUGCCUCAGCAUCUUGAGUUGCUAGGAUUCCAGGUAUGUACCAUCAUAUCUGGCCUGAAGAACCUUAGAAGUUCUCUAUUUCUAUUUCUAUUAAUUAGUUUAUUUAUUUUAAUUAGGUAUACAUGACAGCAGAGUGCAUUUUGAUUUAUUGUACAUAAUUGCAGCACAACUUUUCAUUUCUCUGGUCGUACAUGAUAUAGCAUCUCACCAUAUUUGCAAUCAUACAUGUACCUAGGGUAAUGAUGUCCAUCUCAUUCCACCAUCUUUUUUGCCCACAUGCAGCCUCCCUCCCCCUCCCUCCCC